rnacentral:rRNA from 1 species
GAUGAACGCUGACAGAAUGCUUAACACAUGCAAGUCAACUUGAACUUCGGUUUGGGUGGCGGACGGGUGAGUAACGCGUACAGAACUUGCCUCACAGCUAGGGACAACAUUUGGAAACGAAUGCUAAUACCUGAUAUUAUGAUUAUAUGGCAUCGUAUAAUUAUGAAAGCUAUAUGCGCUGUGAGAGAGCUUUGCGUCCCAUUAGCUAGUUGGAGAGGUAACAGCUCACCAAGGCGAUGAUGGGUAGCCGGCCUGAGAGGGUGAUCGGCCACAAGGGGACUGAGACACGGCCCUUACUCCUACGGGAGGCAGCAGUGGAGAAUAGUGGACAAUGGACCGAGAGUCUGAUCCAGCAAUUCUGUGUGCACGAUGAAGUUUUUCGGAAUGUAAAGUGCUUUCAGUUGGGAAGAAAAAAAUGACGGUACCAACAGAAGAAGUGACGGCUAAAUACGUG